GGGGAAUUUUGGACAAUGGGCGAAAGCCUGAUCCAGCCAUGCCGCGUGAGUGAAGAAGGCCUUCGGGUUGUAAAGCUCUUUUAGUCGGAAAGAAAGAGUCGCAAUGAAUAAUUGUGAUUUAUGACGGUACCGACAGAAAAAGCACCGGCUAACUACGUGCCAGCAGCCGCGGUAAUACGUAGGGUGCGAGCGUUAAUCGGAAUUACUGGGCGUAAAGGGUGCGCAGGCGGUUUUGCAAGUCAGAUGUGAAAGCCCCGGGCUUAACCUGGGAAUUGCGUUUGAAACUACAAGGCUAGAGUGCAGCAGAGGGGAGUGGAAUUCCAUGUGUAGCAGUGAAAUGCGUAGAGAUGUGGAAGAACACCGAUGGCGAAGGCAGCUCCCUGGGUUGACACUGACGCUCAUGCACGAAAGCGUGGGGAGCAAAC
rnacentral:rRNA from 1 species